GGAGAGGUGCCAGAGUGGUCGAAUGGGCUUGACUCGAAAUCAAGUGAGCUACGCAAGUGGUUCCGAGGGUUCGAAUCCCUCCUUCUCCGCCA
rnacentral:tRNA from 2 species